rnacentral:rRNA from 1 species
CUUAACACAUGCAAGUCGAGCGGGGGAAGGUAGCUUGCUACUGGACCUAGCGGCGGACGGGUGAGUAAUGCUUAGGAAUCUGCCUAUUAGUGGGGGACAACAUUCCGAAAGGAAUGCUAAUACCGCAUACGUCCUACGGGAGAAAGCAGGGGACCUUCGGGCCUUGCGCUAAUAGAUGAGCCUAAGUCGGAUUAGCUAGUUGGUGGGGUAAAGGCCUACCAAGGCGACGAUCUGUAGCGGGUCUGAGAGGAUGAUCCGCCACACUGGGACUGAGACACGGCCCAGACUCCUACGGGAGGCAGCAGUGGGGAAUAUUGGACAAUGGGGGGAACCCUGAUCCAGCCAUGCCGCGUGUGUGAAGAAGGCCUUAUGGUUGUAAAGCACUUUAAGCGAGGAGGAGGCUACUAGUAUUAAUACUACUGGAUAGUGGACGUUACUCGCAGAAUAAGCACCGGCUAACUCUGUGCCAGCAGCCGCGGUAAUACAGAGGGUGCGAGCGUUAAUCGGAUUUACUGGGCGUAAAGCGUGCGUAGGCGGCCAUUUAAGUCAAAUGUGAAAUCCCCGAGCUUAACUUGGGAAUUGCAUUCGAUACUGGAUGGCUAGAGUAUGGGAGAGGAUGGUAGAAUUCCAGGUGUAGCGGUGAAAUGCGUAGAGAUCUGGAGGAAUACCGAUGGCGAAGGCAGCCAUCUGGCCUAAUACUGACGCUGAGGU